UGCAGUCGAACGAUGAAGCCCAGCUUGCUGGGUGGAUUAGUGGCGAACGGGUGAGUAACACGUGAGUAACCUGCCCUUGACUCUGGGAUAAGCCUGGGAAACUGGGUCUAAUACUGGAUAUGACUUCUCACCGCAUGGUGGGGGGUGGAAAGAUUUAUUGGUCUUGGAUGGACUCGCGGCCUAUCAGCUUGUUGGUGAGGUAAUGGCUCACCAAGGCGACGACGGGUAGCCGGCCUGAGAGGGUGACCGGCCACACUGGGACUGAGACACGGCCCAGACUCCUACGGGAGGCAGCAGUGGGGAAUAUUGCACAAUGGGCGCAAGCCUGAUGCAGCGACGCCGCGUGAGGGAUGACGGCCUUCGGGUUGUAAACCUCUUUCAGUAGGGAAGAAGCGAAAGUGACGGUACCUGCAGAAGAAGCGCCGGCUAACUACGUGCCAGCAGCCGCGGUAAUACGUAGGGCGCGAGCGUUAUCCGGAAUUAUUGGGCGUAAAGAGCUCGUAGGCGGUUUGUCGCGUCUGCCGUGAAAGUCCGGGGCUUAACCCCGGAUCUGCGGUGGGUACGGGCAGACUAGAGUGCAGUAGGGGAGACUGGAAUUCCUGGUGUAGCGGUGAAAUGCGCAGAUAUCAGGAGGAACACCGAUGGCGAAGGCAGGUCUCUGGGCUGUAACUGACGCUGAGGAGCGAAAGCAUGGGGAGCGAACAGGAUUAGAUACCCUGGUAGUCCAUGCCGUAAACGUUGGGCMCUAGGKGUGGGG
rnacentral:rRNA from 1 species